rnacentral:ribozyme from 1 species
CAAAAUGAGAAAGAAAGAAAGAGAAAAAGAAAGAAACAUGGACAAGUGGUUGGUCCGUUCAUGGUCUUCCUUCCCUUCUUCCUUUCUUGACUCUCCUAAGUCUCGUCUGUUCCUUGCG